rnacentral:rRNA from 1 species
AGAGUUUGAUCCUGGCUCAGAACGAACGCUGGCGGCGUGGCUAAGGCAUGCAAGUCGAACGGAGUGUGUGGAAGGUAACCGAAGCACACUUAGUGGCGAACGGGUGAGGAAUAGAUAGGUAACGUACCCCGGACUCAGGAAUAGCGGCUCCACUUCGGUGGAUUUAGCGAAAGUGCCGGUAAAACCUGAUGACAUCACGGCAUCGCAUGGUGUCGUGAUCAAAAGUCCGCUGGUCUGGGAGCGGCCUAUCUCCUAUCAGCUUGUUGGUGGGGUAACGGUCUACCAAGGCGACGACAGGUACCAGGCGUGAGAGCGCGAUCUGGCACAUCGGGACUGAGACACUGCCCGGACAUCUACGGAUGGCUGCAGCAACGAAUAUUCCGCAAUGGGCGAAAGCCUGACGGAGCGACGCCGCGUGUAGGAUGAAGCACCUCGGUGUGUAAACUACUGUCAGGGGUUAGGAACUCAAUGACCAGCCCCAAAGGAAGCCUCGGCUAACUCCGUGCCAGCAGCCGCGGUAAUACGGAGGAGGCAAGCGUUGUUCGGAAUUACUGGGCUUAAAGCGUGCGUAGGCGGAAUGGUAGGUGCCUUGUGAGAGCCCUCGGCUCAACCGAGGAAUUGCUGGGCAAACCCCCAUUCUUGAGGCCAGCAGAGGGACCUGGAACUUUGGGUGGAGCGGUGAAAUGCGUAGAUAUCCAAGGGAACGCCGGUGGCGAAAGCGGGGUCCUGGGCUGGUUCUGACGCUGAGGCACGAAAGCGUGGGGAGCAAACAGGAUUAGAUACCCUGGUAGUCCACGCCGUAACGA